GACGAACGCUGGCGGCGUGCCUAAUACAUGCAAGUAGAACGCACAGUUUAUACCGUAGCUUGCUACACCAUAGACUGUGAGUUGCGAACGGGUGAGUAACGCGUAGGUAACCUGCCUGGUAGCGGGGGAUAACUAUUGGAAACGAUAGCUAAUACCGCAUAAUAUUAAUUAUUGCAUGAUAAUUAAUUGAAAGGUGCAAUUGCACCACUACCAGAUGGACCUGCGUUGUAUUAGCUAGUAGGUGAGGUAACGGCUCACCUAGGCGACGAUACAUAGCCGACCUGAGAGGGUGAUCGGCCACACUGGGACUGAGACACGGCCCAGACUCCUACGGGAGGCAGCAGUAGGGAAGCUUCGGCAAUGGACGAAAGUCUGACCGAGCAACGCCGCGUGAGUGAAGAAGGGUUUCGGAUCGUAAAGCUCUGUUGUAAGAGAAGAACGGGUGUGAGAGUGGAAAGUUCACACUGUGACGGUAUCUUACCAGAAAGGGACGGCUAACUACGUG
rnacentral:rRNA from 1 species